UGUGAAUCAAUCAAGCAGAAGUGGUAGGAGAAAGUCCAAAAUCAAGUCCCCACAGCUCAAAUGUCCCAUUAACAAAGUCAUAGUGUCCACCCUUAAGUGCCAGUGUUUUCUUCACUAGUCCAUCUCUUACAAACGGGUAAGUCAACAGGUUUGCAAGAGACAAAUUGACUGCCUCCUGAAAAGUCAACACAUGAUUAUUAGCUCUUAACACACACACACAAAAAAAAAAAAAAAAAAAAAAAAAAAAAAAAAAACUAUUAACCUCGUUGAAGAUUAAUUGUUAUUUACCUUUUCACAGGUUACACAUUGAUCAUCAAGAGAUGAACUGGUAUGCUCUGCUUUCACCUUUGACUUUGCAGGGAGAGCAACUUUGACCCAGUCCUCGAUG
rnacentral:lncRNA from 1 species